CCUCGUUCUUGGCGGGUCUUCUUGUCGUCACACAGAAGUUCCGAAUGCUUACAGAGGUGACAUAAAAGGAUGUGUUGGGUCUAAUGCCUUCGGUGCCUGCUCCCCAUUAGCCCCCUUGGGAAUGGACCGAGCAGGUUCCAUCCUCACUGGGCCCUACAACU